CAAGAAUCUGCUGAUGGGCAAAGCCCAUACUCUUCCAUCAGGUCUACUCUUUUAACUGAUACAUCUCCGCGGAGCAGAAACCACAGCCACAAGAUGUCACAACAGGGAGUGAAACACGGAGGGCACUUGUAACUCACAAGUUACCACUCCCUAGCUCCAGGGCGGGGUAGCAGCGAGAUUUUCAUUAAUUGUGUGGGGCCCCAGGAUGUGUUUUGGUUUUGCAAAGCUCUCUGGCAGAGCCUGACUUCCUGUUUAUCUGCCUCCGUACGCUCGCACAGCACAUGCAAUUCAAAACACAAGUGCAUGUGUCUUACAAUUCAGAACCAGAAGAGACUGGAACAUUUUUAAUUAGACUGAAAAUAAAAAGAUAGCAGCUUUGGAAGAUGUGUUCCCCUAGCUCCUUUCCUCUUGAAGGCUGCAAUUAAACAUGUUUUCUGGAGAACUGAUCCUUGCCACCCCAAGGAAAGGGGGAACACGAACCCCAUUAUUUGGUAGUCAACUUCGCCCCUAAAAUAAGUGAAACCGCGAAGCUGUCUUUUACCAGAUGCCCGGGGAACUGGCAGAAAACUGCACGACCAGAGUUUCGUACCCUUGGGGCAUGAUGUACACCAAGAAAUCUGUCAUCAGGGAGGGAAGCAAGAAACUGCAAGCCUUGCCAGCCGGAGAGAAGCAUUUCAAACAGGCACGGGGGCAGACCCUCAGCAAGCCAAUGAGCUGCCGACAGCGUCAGACUUUCCAGGUCCCUGGGUUAAAAAGGCAAACAGCACAAAUCUACUGGCAGACUGCCCGUGCUUCUGUCUGUCCUCACAGCACAAGACUUUCAGAACUGUGUGCCCUUUGCUGAUGGAAACAUUGAAAAAUACCUUCCUUCGAAGUAUUUUGAAGCUUGAGAGGACCACAGGAAAACAUCAGAUGGCUCCUUCCCAAGCGAAGUUUCGAGAGACCACAGAAAACCUAACAAGCACUCAAAAGUGAAGAUUUUCAAUUUUAAAAAGUACAGUAUGGAGCAACUUGUGACACUUACCCCCUCCAAAAAAACAGCUGUUCCUUUGGCUGCCAAUGCCAUAAUCUUGUUUCCUAACUGAGACUUAUUGGAGGAGAUUAAUCUUUACAGGCUUACUUUGAAAUCAGUCUGCACGAGAACCAAGCCCCAAAUCAGAGAACACACAGUAGAGUUGGUGAUUACCCUGCACCAUUUCUGCAACGACUGGGCCGCCGAGUGCUCUGCAAAGCACCCAAGGGUUUGAAGGAGAACCUUCACUUUGAGGAAGAUUAACAGAUCAUCUGUCCUUUGUAAAGUCAUCUAUAUUAUCAAUGACAAGACUCAAAUUGAGGGGCGCCUGGGUGGCUCAGUCGGUUGAGCGUCUGCUUCUGCUCAGGUCAUGAUCCCAGGGACCUGGGUCGAACCCUGCAUCCGGCUCCCUGCUCAGCAAGGGCCCUGCUUCUCCCUCUCCUCCCUGCUCCUGCUAUCUCUGUCUCUCUCAAAUAAAUAAAUAAAAUCGUUUAAAAAAAAGAAGACU
rnacentral:lncRNA from 1 species